AUUGAACGCUGGCGGCAGGCCUAACACAUGCAAGUCGUGCGGUUGAAGGGAGCUUGCUCCUGGCUUCAGCGGCGGACGGGUGAGUAAUGCCUAUGAAUCUGCCUGGUCGUGGGGGAUAACGUCCGGAAACGGUCGCUAAUACCGCAUACUUCCUGUGGGAGAAAGUGGGGGAUCUUCGGACCUCACGCUAUCAGAUGAGCCUAGGUCGGAUUAGCUAGUUGGUGGGGUAAAGGCCUACCAAGGCGACGAUCCGUAACUGGUCUGAGAGGAUGAUCAGUCACACUGGAACUGAGACACGGUCCAGACUCCUACGGGAGGCAGCAGUGGGGAAUAUUGGACAAUGGGCGAAAGCAUGAUCCAGCCAUGCCGCGUGUGUGAAGAAGGUCUUCGGAUUGUAAAGCACUUUAAGUUGGGAGGAAGGGCAGUAAGUUAAUACCUUGCUGUUUUGACGGUACCAACAGAAUAAGCACCGGCUAACUUCGUG
rnacentral:rRNA from 1 species